CAUAUGAGAAGUUGGUAGCACUCGCACUAUCGCUGACGUACCCUUUUGACGGUUGCUACUUCCGUAGAUCAAUCAGAAGUUGCAACGUGUGACGUACGGUGUGAAAGGCUCUCGUAUCAAAACGUAUUCUUCGCGGGAAAAAAGUAUAAAGACGACUCUGUGAAGCAGUUUUAGAUCUUCAUCACUGCACAGUUACAGUCGUCACGUGUACUAGCUCGAACCAUCGGAUAGCCAACAAACCGGAGAGAGGGUGAAGCAGACAAUUGCAUGUCCGAGCGUUGAAGACCAGGUUCCCAACGACUCCACCGGGGAAACGCCCAUAAGAACAAAAUAAAGUCGCGAACAUUCCCAUCUCCGUUCAGGCAAGAGCGCAGCUGGCCGUCGAGCGCAAGACGAAGAAGAUUUCACACCAACCAUCUGCCGUACGUUCAUAUUAAGGAAGGCACAAAACUACAAACUAGAAGCAGGCAUUCAACAACCCGCACACACAGACGUAGGCUCAUCAAAACUCAAGUUCACCGGACAGAGAAGGCCCUCGAAAGAGGGCCUUUUGUAUCAAUUGCAGAAAGCUGCUGGGCAGCAACGUAGUCCAACUAUACCAGCAGUAGCCACGCCAACGACACCGGCUCGACGAUCGCAUAGAGUGAUAGUGAUUACCCCGACCGGUCACAUGGUGUUGUAUCCUCGCAGUGCUUUUCGAAUUCCAAUUGGAAUUUAGCAGCAACGACGCUGCCGUGUGCUAGCGAAAGGGAGUGAAUGGUGAAGCCGCAUGCCGAUAUAUAGUGUGCAAGUUUGUUGAAUCCGACUGCAGAAGAGCAGCUGAUUAUGAAUGGUGCACGAUUGGGGUAAGAUUUGGAUCACCUUACGUGCAAGGUUACCCAACAGUGCAGUGAUCAGUGAUAUUCGGUGUGGAGAACUGCGAGGAGAAGAGUGCCGCGGUAUACCAGAGGGAAUAGCAUCAGAAAGAACGCAGAAGCGAGGUGGUAGUGAG